UGCGUUCCUGCCCAUUGCUCGCUCCUGGAAGGCCGGGCUCUGGGGAGGUGCCGCAGGCUGCUGCGCACAGGGAUUGCCCCUGCAUUUCACACAUGCUCAAACUACUGAAACCCUAAUAAAACUUAGGUAGACUCAGAUGCAUUCUAUAUACAUGUCAGUGGAUUGAAUACUAUUAGUUUUGUUGGAUUAGCCUGUUUUUGUACAGAGGUCCAAAUAAAGCAAGCAGCUGGAAGACGCUUGCCGUUGCUACCCCUUCUUUUCAUAAAGCCCUUUGAAGUAAAUGCAGAGGCAGCUGAGACUGCGCCGUGGCUUAACUGCUGGGCUGUAGAGUUACCUGGCCCAGUCCCAUCUCACCGCAGUCCAGCUCUAUGACCUUGAGCAAGGAAUGUAACCUCUCUGAGUCAGAGCCAUCAUCUGUAGGAUGGGCACAAUGAGAGGCACACCCGAGGAGUGAAUGCCCUUAGGCAGAGGCAGUAACUUGCAGGGCGCAGUCGGAUGUUAGCCUGGUGGUGGUGGUGGUCAUCAUUUUAGCCUUAACCCCCAAUGUCAAGAUUUUGAAGAGUCUCUCUUUUUUUUUUCAUUGAUUGAAUUUAUAAGUUAAGGGCUGCUGUAUGUAAAUUCCACAAAAAUGCUUCUUUGCUAAAAAAAAAAAAAAAAGAAAAAGGAGAGACGGGUUUGGAAUGGUUGGUUUAGACCGGAAAGCACAGCUCCACCUGGUCGACAGUGGAGACCUUCCCACGGAGUUGGUCUUGAGGACUGGGAUCCUUUGGCUUCUGAUGUCUGCCUGCAUUGGCUCUGCCCACUGCGCUUACUGAAAUUUGACAGAAGAAAUGGCCACAAAAGAAACCUUUCCAUGAAACUGCCAGUAAGGACUUCACGUAUCCAUUCCGCAGAAACUCCCUGCACUGCUUUGAUGAGCCUGGCAGGGUGGUGAACGCUCUCCCCGCUGGCCGUGUCCCAGUGAAUCUCCCAGCAGCCCUCGAGUUUCCCUUCUGCCUUGGCUGCCCAGAAGGAAGCUUCACAACCUUUUGUGCUGCCUUUGCCUUAGCCCAGCUUUUCCUCUGUCACAUCAGUUUUUCUCUUGAAAUCUUGGGUUUAUUCUUAAAAUUAUGAAAACAGAUUGAAUGUACAUUGUUA
rnacentral:lncRNA from 1 species